CCCAGCUUUAAAAGUGCCUUCUUGGAAGAGUUUCUACCUUGUGUUUUGUAGAUACUAAGGGCAGGCAAUGUUACCUGUGCAUCUACUAGCCAUGUUGUUGUAUAAGAAGUUUCCACACAAGCAGCUUCAACAUCAGCAUAGCAAGGUGGAAUUGUGGAUUCACAGAGAGCUCUCCAUGGGUUCAGGUGCAGGGUGUUACCAGAUUUGCCCGUUACUUUCAGUCUUGAAAUGUGACAUCCCAGGAAGCUGAACUUGAGUGCAGCACCGCCCACUUUCCAAAGAGGAGAGAGGGGGAUGUCAAGGCUGGAUUUCUGUGCAAGAUUGCCUUAUUGGAAUAGAAAAGGAGAGUUUUGAUUAUUCUGAGUUUCCUGUCUCUAUUUCCUGUAGUGGUAAAUGAAGAAC